CCCCUAAGAUAGAAAUCAGGUAACCUAGAAGACAGCAAAAUAUCAAAAAUUGCGUUGAACAAUCUUCAGACGCCAAGAAUAGAAAGAAUCACAAAAAUCGUAUCUUCCACAAUCAAUUAUGGUUCUGUCAAGCCGAUUUCUGCAGAUUUCACGCUUCUUAAUUGUUGAGGGUUUAGGGGUUCAUUUUAGAGUUGAAUUUGUCUUUCGUCUUCUUCAAUUGCAGCCGAUGGAAUUUGCCGUCGUUUGAGGAUUCUCACCUUUCUUCUUAAUCAAUUGCAGUGCCUGUGUUCCAAGUUCUUUAUGGCUAGGAAGGGGUAUCGCUCCCUCGAAUAUAGGUCGGACUUGUUGAAGUUUCAUCGCAUAAUGGAACGAAUUAGAGAGAAUGUGAGGGAGCCACUGUGUACAGUACCUGCAUACAGUACCUGCGCCAUAGGUACACUAUUAGAGGUUACCUAUGCCAUAGGUACUGUUAGAGGUUACCUGUAGCUUUGGAGUUAUGCUGUUAGAGAUGCAAUUAGCAAAGCUAAAACCAUGGAAACAUGACUUCUAUGUACUAUCCAUAGCUGUUGGAACAUGACUUCUAUGCACUAAAGCUAAAACCAUGAAAACAUGACUUCUAUGCACUAUAAGUCAUUUCAUAUGACUUGUGUAAUGAGAAGUUUGCUAUUUGUAUUGUAUAUUAAUCUUAACUAAAAACCCAGCUGGAACAGCAGAAGUCCCCUCCUAGCUAUGUCAUUUGGUGCUACAGUGUUGGAUGCAUUGUAUCUUAUAGGUUAUUUAUCAAAUUCAUACAACUUUCUAAAUGUAGAAGCUUUUCUGAUCUUUGUACACUUGGGUCCUGCAAUGCAUAUACAACACUUUAUGUGGUGUUCCACCUCAGAUCGUGAAGGGAAUGCCUAAAAAGGAUCUCACUGAGGAGGCGAUCGUGAUUGCGUGAAUUCAUUUGCUGUUUUUGGCUAGAGUUAUGAUUUGUACCAGCCCAAAUUUUGUGUGUGUAAAUGUCAUGAUCUAUACAUAUGUAUUGCAUUUAAUUUUUCUUCUCUCCCUCCUUCAUAUUAAUAACUUAAGAUUACACUUGUGAGUUUUACAGUCA